UUGUGCUUGACAAUAGAAAUACCAAAAUUGGAAGGAUUCUGAGGAGACUAGCAUGGCUCCUAUGCAAGAAUAACUUUAAAAUUUGCAAAGCACCCCAAAUUUUU
ensembl:snRNA U6 U6 spliceosomal RNA